UACGGGGGGGGCAAGCGUUGUUCGGAAUUACUGGGCGUAAAGAGCUCGUAGGCGGUUUGUUGCGUCGGCUGUGAAAUCCCGAGGCUCAACCUCGGGUCUGCAGUCGAUACGAGCAAACUAGAGUGUUGCAGGGGAGACUGGAAUUCCUGGUGUAGCGGUGAAAUGCGCAGAUAUCAGGAGGAACACCGGUGGCGAAGGCGGGUCUCUGGGCAACAACUGACGCUGAGGAGCGAAAGCGUGGGGAGCGAUCAGG
rnacentral:rRNA from 1 species